UACGUCGAUUUCAAGCUUCAAUUAUCAAAUGCUCACUCGCCUCAUCUGGCGUGUUGCCACUAGCCGAGUUAGUUGUAGGAUGUGCGCGUGUGGAGACGUAGGACUGUAGAACCAUAGCGAGUUUGAAGUUAUAAUACUAUAUAAUAGCGAUUUAUUGCUGAUUUUUUCAUAAAAGAAUAGUGGUAGUGAUGAUAGCCGGUGAGUAUAUACGAUUUCCGUUUUUCGUACAUAAUAAUUGUUCUACAGUCUAA